GCUCAGGUAGUGUAGUGGUUAGCACGAGAGAUUUUGAGGCUGGAUUAUCUACCAUCCACACCAAUUUCAAACUUCUCUAAUCCCCGGUUCGAACCCGGGCCAGAGCU